UGUUACACUUUAUAUAAAUCACAGUAUUACCUGGGUAUUAAACAGUUAUUGUCUUGAAACUCAAAGGAUUUGGCGGUAAUUUAGUCUCUUUAGAGGAACCUGUCCUAUAAUCGAUAGUCCACGAAAAAUCUUACUUUAUCUUGUAGAAAACAGUUUGUAUACCGUCAUUAUCAGAUAACUUUAAUAAAAUCUAAAGUUAUUGAAAGAGUUUAGCUAAUAUAUUAGAUCAAGGUGCAGCUUAUGUUAAAGGAAGAGAUGGGUUACAAUAUAAUAAUUAUAAACGGAGUAAUAAGUGAAUACUUAUUAUUGAAGGUGGAUUUAAAAGUAAAAGGAUUUUAAUAAGAUCUUUUGACCUUAGCUCUAGGUUAU
rnacentral:rRNA from 1 species